AUACUGAUGAAGAGUCCCAAAAUAGGACGAAACAGUUGUCCAGUAU
rnacentral:hammerhead_ribozyme from 1 species